UGCCAGCCGCCGCGGUAAUACGGAGGGUGCAAGCGUUAAUCGGAAUUACUGGGCGUAAAGCGCGCGUAGGCGGCGCGUUAAGUCAGAUGUGAAAGCCCCGGGCUUAACCUGGGAAUGGCAUUUGAAACUGGCGAACUUGAGUACGGGAGAGGAAAGUGGAAUUCCGAGUGUAGGGGUGAAAUCCGUAGAUAUUCGGAGGAACACCAGUGGCGAAGGCGGCUUUCUGGGCCGAUAUUGAUGCUGAGGCGCGAAGGCGUGGGUAGCGAACGGGAUUAGAUA
rnacentral:rRNA from 1 species